UGCCAGCAGCCGCGGUAAUACAUAGGGGUCAAGCGUUGUCCGGAUUUAUUGGGCGUAAAGAGCUCGUAGGCGGCAGGGUAAGUCAGAUGUGAAAUCCCGGAGCUCAACUCCGGAACUGCAUUUGAUACUGCCCUGCUAGAGGGUCGGAGGGGAGUCUGGAAUUCUCGGUGUAGCAGUGAAAUGCGUAGAUAUCGAGAGGAACACUAGUGGCGAAGGCGAGACUCUGGACGACACCUGACGCUGAGAGACGAAGGCCAGGGUAGCGAAAAGGAUUAGAUA
rnacentral:rRNA from 1 species